GUGCUGGCUUUGGCAGCACAUAUAUUAAAAUUGGAAUGAUACAGAGAAGAUUAGCAUGGCCCCUGCCCAAGGAUGACACACAAAUUCGUGAAGCAUUCAGUAUUUUU
ensembl:snRNA U6 U6 spliceosomal RNA